UGGUCUUUUCACUUUGGCCCAGGAGGUGUUAUUGUUGGACUGGUAACCAAUGUGUCUUCACUCCUGCAAUGAGCCCUACAGGUGGAGAGAAGAGUCAAUGUGAGAAAUCUUGCAGUGAUGGAAUCUAAAGGUGCAAAGGAACCGGGAA
rnacentral:lncRNA from 14 species